UUAACUGUAUAGUUGAGUAGUGUUAAGUAGAUAGAUAUUGUUGCACAAUGUGUCUCUAGGAAAAUGUUUAGUUUGUGUUGUCUUCCUGAGAUAGAUGUUACUAUGUAGCCCAGGCUAGGCUUGAGCUGUCUGUGUAACCCAAGAUGUCCUCAAAUUCUCAGUUCUCAAGCUUCCAGCUUCCACCUUCCACAUGCUGUGAUUGUAGGUGUGUACUGCCGUUCCUUGUGUGAUCUACAGAAAACAGCCUAUCUUCUAAAAAAGCUCACCUAUAGCCAUUAGACAGCAUCUCCAUUUUAUCCCUGGGCUUCCAGCAACAAUCAUUUCACCUUCUGUUUCUAGGUGUACAAUAUGUGUGAACAACAUUCGUCUUCUUGUGACUAGCCCAUUCCCUUAGCACACCCAUCAAAGUGGACUGUAGGUUGCUUUUGAUCAUGGUCCUUGUGAUAGCAAUGGAGGGCAAACUAAAGCAGAAGCCAUCUAAACGGAUAUGAGAUUUCCUUACAGAUUCAAAACUGGCUCCCCUAGGUGAAUGAGGACAAGACAGGACUACUUAGCAGAUUGCAGGCCCAGGAUGCACUGCAGAGGAAAGGAGGCCUGUGAGUAACAUGGGGACAUGCUGCAGUGAGGUCUCAAAACAAGUGUAUCUUCAAUCAAAGGGCACUUCCUGACCAGCACGGUUGUUUGAACAGGUUGUUUGAACAAAGGCUUUGACACUUACAUGGGCUCCAGCUCUUCCUUGUUAACUUGUCUGAG